UACGUAGGGGGCAAGCGUUGUCCGGAUUUAUUGGGCGUAAAGAGCGUGUAGGCGGCUUGGCAAGUCCGCUGUGAAAACUCGAGGCUCAACCUCGAGACGUCGGUGGAAACUGCCUCGCUAGAGUCCGGAAGAGGAGAGUGGAAUUCCUGGUGUAGCGGUGAAAUGCGCAGAGUAUCAGGAAGAACACCCGUGGCUAAGGCGGCUCUCUAGUACGGUACUGACGCUGAGACGCGAAAGCGUGGGGAGCGAACAGG
rnacentral:rRNA from 1 species